CCUGCACCAAACUCCACAAUUUCUGAUGAACCUUUUGGGUAUACCUUCACUUUCCCUUUCAACAAAUAGCAUGUCUCUUCUGCAUCAAACUUUAGCUGAUAUCUUCCUGGAGAGCAACCCCAUUUGGGCCAGUACUUGAUGUUUAAUUCAUUGAGUUUGGACUCUGAUGGGUUCUUUUCAAUUAUGAUUCUUAAGUUUUCAGCCAUGAUUCAAUGCUUCAAAGAAGAAGAGGGUUAGACUGAGAAAAAGAAAUCAAGAAAUUGCAGAGCUUCUUCGAAGUUUCUUGAGUAUAUAUAUAUAUAUAUAUAGAGAGAGA
rnacentral:misc_RNA from 1 species